UGUGUGUGUGUGUGUGUGUGUACGUGUGUGUGUGUGUGUGUGUGUGUGUGUGUAUUAUAUACGCACACACACACACACACACACACACACACACACAUAUAUAUAUUAUAUAUAUAUAUAUAUAUAUAUAUUUUAUAUAUAUAUAUAUAUUAUAUAUAUAUAUAUAUAUAUAUAUAU
rnacentral:snoRNA from 1 species